rnacentral:lncRNA from 1 species
GCUGACAGGUCUUUGCAGGAGACUCCCUGACAAAGCACAACAACAUGGCAUUCUCAACUCAUGACCAAGAUAAUGAUACGAAUGGCGGGAAGAACUGUGCAGCUUUGUUCCACGGAGCCUGGUGGUACCACGACUGUCACCAGUCCAACCUCAACGGGCGCUACUUGCCUGGCUCCCAUGAAAGUUAUGCGGAUGGCAUCAACUGGCUAAGUGGCCGAGGCCACCGCUACUCCUACAAGGUUGCUGAGAUGAAAAUCCGGGCAUCAUAAGGUGCCCCAGCCUCCACCCACCCCUGCAGCCAUGCCCAGGCCAUGUGGGGACACUGAAGGAAGGGGUCACGAGAAGAUGGGGUCUGUGGCUGUAUGUCGUGUGCUCUGGACACUGUCCAGCACUGACCAGUAUGCACUAAUAAAGGUCAGAGAAGCAGA